rnacentral:RNase_P_RNA from 1 species
UUUUGCAAGAGGAAAGUCCGGACACCGUAGGGCAAUAGUGCUAGAUAACGUCUAGUGAGAGUGAUCUUAAGGAAAGUGCAACAGAAAAUAACCGCCAUUUUAUGGUAAGGGUGAAAACGUGAGGUAAGAGCUCACGAAUUUUUAUGGUGACAUAGAAAUGGUGUAAACCCCACUUGGUGCAACGUCAAAAUAGAAAGGUUAAGACUGCCCGUCGUCUUUCGUGGUUGACGGCUUGAAGUAUAUAGUGAUAUAUACUCUAGAUAAAUGACUAUUUAAAACAGAAUCCGGCUUAUGA